rnacentral:rRNA from 1 species
UACGUAGGGUGCGAGCGUUAAUCGGAAUUACUGGGCGUAAAGUGUGCGCAGGUGGCCGCGCAAGUCGAGUGUGAAAUCCCCGAGCUUAACUUGGGAAUUGCGCUCGAAACUACGUGGCUCGAGUGUGGCAGAGGAAGGUGGAAUUCCACGUGUAGCGGUGAAAUUCGUAGAUAUUCGGAGGAACACCAGUGGCGAAGGCGGCUCACUGGUCCGGUACUGACGCUGAGGUGCGAAAGCGUGGGGAACAAACAGG